rnacentral:misc_RNA from 1 species
GAUGAAGAACGCAGCGAAAUGCGAUAAGUAAUGUGAAUUGCAGAAUUCAGUGAAUCAUCGAAUCUUUGAACGCACAUUGCGCCCAUUAGUAUUCUGGCGGGCAUGCCUGUUCGAGCGUCAUUUCAACCCUCAGGCCCCCAGUGCCUGGCGUUGGGGAUCGGCGCGGCGCCCUCCGGGGCGCUGCCGGCCCCGAAAUUCAGUGGCGGUCUCGCUGUAGCCCUCCUCCGCGUAGUAGCACAACCUCGCGGCCUGGAGCUCGGCGGUGGCCAUGCCGUAAAACACCCCACUUCUGAAAGUUGACCUCGGAUCAGGUAGGAAUACCCGCUGAACUUAAGCAUAUCAAUAAGCGGAGGA